UUUAAUUCUGCUCCUUCAUUUCUAGGUGGCUGAGGAGCCUCCCUGAACUACCUCACUUCCAUCUCCAGCUCCAACUCCACCCAGCCAGCCCUUUUCACCUCUCCAAACACCUGCUUUUCAGUAAGAAGCCCCACCCCACCCAGAACAUGGAGUUCUUUCCAGUCUGGGAGACGCACCUUGGAGCGAGGGAGGGCUGUCACAUUUGGAAAAGAGGAGGAGGAAGAAGAUGACUAUUUUAUUGUUCCACUCAUGUACUCUGACUCCCACCUUUGUCAAAUAGCUGAUGGAGCAGCUUUUGAAAAUAGUGUAAAAUGAAACCUUGCUGCCCUGAUUUGGUCAGCCUUUGUGAACUGUCCCCUGCAACUUGGCCCCUCUCCUUCAACAACACCACACAUUGGCGGGUGGGGGGAGGUGGUGGUGGCAGGCACUAUGCUCCGCUCAGGGGCUGGAGUUCAUGCUUCACUGAGGGCGACAGGGAUGCUUUAGAUGAUAGUGAGUGGUGGAAAUAGUCACUCUCCCUUCUGAGAAUUGGAAACGACAUCCUAUUUAAAACAAUGGUUCUUGGCGUUUACCUGCUUUCCUAAAGAGGUCCCACCUGCCUGUCCUCUUGAGACCUCCUGGGGUGCACAGGAGGAGAGUGGAGAGUGUUCCAUUUCUGUGGACCAAGAAAUCCCAUCAUAUCACACUCCCUGUCCACUGGGAUCCCCAAGAUGACAUCAGUGGGCAGGAUGGCAGGAGAGCUUGCCCUGUAGGACAUUUUUCUUCAAGGAGACAUAGCCUGUGGCUCAACAAAGGCUUCUGGGAGGUGAGUGGAGUUCAGGAUAUGCUGGUGAGCCCAUGGGACGGUCACUCCUGUUGUGGCUACACUGGAGUUGAGCAAUGGUCUUAAUGUAGACAGACAACUGAAGAGUUCCUUAGUUAAUUUUUCAUGAAAGGGUAUAAUUGGAAAUUUAUAUCCAAGUCGUUGAUUACCAGUUAACAAUAAAAAGGAACAAAGGGUUGAUAUUUGCAAAAAUUUGGGUGGAUCUGAAGGUGACUAUGCUGAAUGAAAAGAGCCAGUCUCGAAAGAUUGCAUGCUACAUAUUGUAGGAUUCCAUUUUUUGUUUGUUUUCUACAUUAAAUUCUAUGAAAUAAUGUCUCUUUACAAAACAAUCUGUGAAUGAAACAAACUUGAUUUUUAAAGGCAAAAGGUAUAAGGAGAGCUGCUACAAAACCCACCAGUCACCAAACUGAAUACUCUUACUGGUUUUAUAUCACAAAAUGAAGUUAAGCUCUAAUCUGAUCCCAGUGUUGAACUCACCUGAUAUGCCUUCUUUGUAGGAUUUCAUUUUCUUGGUUGUUAGUUUUGUUUGUUUGUUUGUUUGUUUGUUUUUGGUAUGGGGGAUUGAACCCAGGGGUACUCUACCACUAAGUCACAUCCCCAGUCCUUUUUUUUUUGUUUUUUUUUUUUUUUUUUUUUUUUUUUUUUUUUUUUUUUUUUUUUUUUUUUUUUUUUUUUUUUUUUUUUUAAUACACCUUCUCACUAAGUUGCUGAGGCUGCUGUCCAAUUCAUGAUCCUCCUGCCUCAGGCUCCUGAGCCGCUGGGAUUACAGGCAUGGGCCACUACACCCAGCCCUGUUGCAUUCUUGAAAUGCAGAGAUUCUGGAGAUGAAGAACCCCAUUAGUGACAGGAAUUAGGGAUUGUGAGGAAAGACUGGGGAAGGCCACGGAAGACCAGUACUAGGAAACCCUGUGGUGAUGAAGCAAUUAGGGAUCUUGAAUGUGGUUAUGCACUGCUGCAUAGGUGAUAAAAUUGUAUAAAGCCACACACACACACACACACACACACACACGAGUACCUGUAAAACUGGUAGCCCAAAUUAGCUUUGAAUUGUACCAAUAUCAAUUUCCUGGUUUUGAUAGUGCACUAUCAUUAUACAAGGUGGCAGGGUGAAGAGUGUGUGGGGACUUCCUUGUAACAUUUUUAUGGUGGUAAAAUACCUGUAACAUAAACUUUACCAUUUUAAUUAUUUUUUACAUACACAGUUUGGUGGAGCUAAAACUUGGAUCUUAAGUAUUCCAUAGAAGCCAUGUGUUGAAGGCUUGGAGUGCUAUUGGGAGGUGGUGGAACAUUUAGGAAUUUAGGUGACUAAGGGUGUGCCCUUGAAGGGGACAUGGGGACUUGGGCCCCUGCCUGUUUCUCUCUUUGAUUCCUGGCCGCCUUGAGUUUAUCUGUUUCCUUCACCAUGUGCUCCUUACACAGGUCCAAAAGCAAUGGAACCAGUGAUCAUGGACUAAGACCUCUGAAGUCUGGGAGCCCAAAUAAGACUUUCUGCCUUAUAAGUUGAUUCUUUCUAGUAUUUUGUCACAGUAAUGGAAAGCUGACUAACAGGUGGGAUUUAUUACUUUACAUUAUGGUACAAUAGACUUGACCUUCCACCUCUAGAACUUUUUAUCAUCCCACACUGAAACUCCAAACCCAUUAAACAACUCCCUAAUCUCUCUCCCCCAACCCCUGAAAACCACCAUUCUACUUUCCAUUUAUUUGAAUUUGACUAUUCUAGAUAUCUCAUAUAAAUGACAUCAUACAAUAUUUGUUGAUUUAUGACUGGAUUGUCUCCCUUAGCUGAAUGUCUGAGGGGUUCAUCCAUCAGAAUUUCCUUCCUUUUUAAGACUGAAUAACAUCCCGUAUUCUGUUUGUCCACUCAUUUAUUGGUGGCAAUUUUAGUUUCCACCUUUUAGAUGCUGUUAUCCUCUCAAAUUGUUUUUU
rnacentral:lncRNA from 1 species